rnacentral:rRNA from 1 species
UACGGAGGGUGCAAGCGUUGUUCGGAAUCAUUGGGCGUAAAGAGCACGUAGGCGGGUUUGUAUGUCGAUUGUGAAAGCCCCGGGCUUAACCCGGGAAUUGCAGUCGAAACUGCAGAUCUUGAAUACCCAAGAGGAUGGGGGAAUUCCUGGUGGAGUAGUGAAAUACGUAGAGAUCAGGAGGAACACCUGAGGCGAAGGCGCCUGUCUGGUGGUGUAUUGACGCUGAGGUGCGAAAGCGUGGGGAGCAAACAGG